GCACUUCCUCCUAUGCCAGCUCACGGGGCUGGCAUCCUGGGCAGCUGCCAGGCACCUGCUGCUGACAAGAAAAGACCCAGUAUCCCAGCCUUUGUGGAGAGACGGGCCGGCUUGGAUUCCUGAGAAACGUGUGAGGUCCCAGGAGAAGCCCUUGCCAGGAUGUGGGCUGACUGGCCAGUGGGCAGAAGGGAAGGUGGGGCUUCACACCUGCACACAGUCGAGUCCCUGCUCAACACACUCACUGCCUUGGUCUCAUCGUCCCACCAGGAAGGAUUCUCUCAGGCCAGAGAUGGAACUCUGCAGAGCCUUCAGCUUGGGGACGGGGGGAAGGGGGCAAGAAUGUACCUCAAGAGUCAGGCCACGGGGUUGGCAGCGCUCAAUUCUGGUCUCAAAGCCCGUCAUCUACGGUACUCAGACCCUCCCCAGCCUUACUGGGACCCCUAGGACUCAACAGAAUUCACUCUGUUUCUCUGACUUGUUGGGUAACCCCAAAACAUGUAACCUGUUAUUAUCUGUAGGGUUCGAUGGGGACCCCAGAAAGGAGUUGACGCUAACGUGUCUGCCUCUAGCACAUUAGCGGGGCUCUGGGUGGACACAAGAAGGACUGAACGGAAACCAGAUGAGAUAGAGAAGAACCUUGGGAGACAGAGGGAAGGCAUUAGACCACAGGCUGGAAAGCCAGAACACUCUAGAUUUGCGUUUCCCCACAGUACCUCCUAAGUGGUACCCAGAAGAGGCUCUCCUGGGAAGGGGCUCUGAGAGCUGAGCAGUGAUACGGUGUGCAGCAACGUGUUAUGGUCGCAGAGCUGCUUCUGCCUGGUGCCCAGCUUGACAUCAUACACUGCCCCCGUCGCCUCACUGGUCUUCCCCUGUCGCCUGCAAGCUGACAGA
rnacentral:lncRNA from 1 species